rnacentral:rRNA from 1 species
GUCUGUGGGUACGCCACUCUGAAUGCACCUGAUCUCAGAAGCUAAGCAGGGUCUGCCCUGGGUUUUACUUGCA